rnacentral:rRNA from 1 species
GAAUUACUGGGCGUAAAAGCGCACGCAGGCGGUUUUGUUAAGUCAGAUGUGAAAUCCCCGCGCUUAACGUGGGAACUGCAUUUGAAACUGGCAAGCUAGAGUCUUGUAGAGGGGGGUAGAAUUCCAGGUGUAGCGGUGAAAUGCGUAGAGAUCUGGAGGAAUACCGGUGGCGAAGGCGGCCCCCUGGACAAAGACUGACGCUCAGGUGCGAAAGCGUGGGGAGCAAACAGGAUUAGAUACCCUGGUAGUCCACGCUGUAAACGAUGUCGACUUGGAGGUUGUGCCCUUGAGGCGUGGCUUCCGGAGCUAACGCGUUAAGUCGACCGCCUGGGGAGUACGGCCGCAAGGUUAAAACUCAAAUGAAUUGACGGGGGCCCGCACAAGCGGUGGAGCAUGUGGUUUAAUUCGAUGCAACGCGAAGAACCUUACCUACUCUUGACAUCCACAGAAUUCGGCAGAGAUGCCUUAGUGCCUUCGGGAACUGUGAGACAGGUGCUGCAUGGCU